rnacentral:rRNA from 1 species
CAGCAGCCGCGGGAAUACGUAGGGUGCAAGCGUUAAUCGGAAUUACUGGGUGUAAAGCGUGCGCAGGCGGUUAUGUAAGACAGAGGUGAAAUCCCCGGGCUCAACCUGGGAAUUGCCUUUGUGACUGCGUAGCUAGAGUACGGCAGAGGGGGAUGGAAUUCCGCGUGUAGCAGUGAAAUGCGUAGAUAUGCGGAGGAACACCGAUGGCGAAGGCAAUCCCCUGGGCCUGUACUGACGCUCAUGCACGAAAGCGUGGGGAGCAAACAGGAUUAGAUACCCCCGUAGUCCCUGUCUCUUAUAA